AUCCAGCUGAUGAGUCUCAAACAAGACGAAACGCGCGUCCUGAAU
rnacentral:hammerhead_ribozyme from 1 species